rnacentral:rRNA from 1 species
UACAGAGGUCCCGAGCGUUGUUCGGAUUCAUUGGGCGUAAAGGGUGCGUAGGCGGCGGGGCAAGUCUGAUGUGAAAUCCCGGGGCUCAACCCCGGAACUGCAUUGGAUACUGCUCUGCUUGAGCACUGGAGAGGAGACUGGAAUUUACGGUGUAGCAGUGAAAUGCGUAGAGAUCGUAAGGAAGACCAGUGGCGAAGGCGAGUCUCUGGACAGUUGCUGACGCUGAGGCACGAAGGCCAGGGGAGCAAACGGG